UUGUUGUUUUGUGUUACGGGCGUAUGGUGGAUGCCUUGGCAUGCUGGGCCGAUGAAGGACGUGUGAGGCUGCGUUAAGCCUCGGGGAGUUGCCAACAGUGCGUUGAUCCGAGGAUGUCCGAAUGGGGAAACCCAACACCAGUUGUGUGGUGUUACCUGCAGGUGAAUGCAUAGCCUGUGUGGAGGUGACGUGGGGAAGUGAAACAUCUCAGUACCCACAGGAGAAGAAAACAAUUUGUGAUUCCGUGUGUAGUGGCGAGCGAUAGCGGAUGAGGCUAAACCGUGUGCGUGUGAUACCUGGGUAGGGGUUGCGUGUGCGGUGUUGUGGGGUGUGAUCGUUGCGGGCUACCUGACCGCAAGAUGGUGUGUGUGNNNNNNNNNNNNNNNNNNNNNNNNNNNNNNNNNNNNNNNNNNNNNNNNNNNNNNNNNNNNNNNNNNNNNNNNNNNNNNNNNNNNNNNNNUUGUCUGAUCAUGUUUUCCCCGAGUAGCAGCGGGCUCGUGAAAUCUGCUGUGAAUCUGCCGGGACCACCCGGUAAGCCUAAAUACCCAGUGUGACCGAUAGUGAAUAGUACCGUGAGGGAAUGGUGAAAAGUACCCCGGGAGGGGAGUGAAAGAGUUCCUGAAACCAUGCGCUUACAAUCCGUCAGAGCACCGUUUGUGUGUGAUGGCGUGCCUUUUGAAGAAUGAGCCUGCGAGUCAGCGGCAUGUCGCGAGGUUAACCCGUUAUGUGGGGUAGUCGUAGCGAAAGCGAAUCCUAAGAGGGUGUCAAGUGGCAUGUCCUGGACCCGAAGCGGGGUGAUCUACCCAUGGCCAGUGUGAAGCAGCUGUAAGAGGUUGUGGAGGCGCGAACCCACUUAGGUUGAAAACUGAGGGGAUGAGCUGUGGGUAGGGGUGAAAGGCCAAUCAAACUCCGUGAUAGCUGGUUCUCCCCGAAAUGCAUUUAGGUGCAGCGUGAUGUGUGCUUACCGGAGGUAGAGCUACUGGAUGGCCGAGCGGGACUAUCAUCUUAGUGACGUCAGCCAAACUCCGAAUGCCGGUGAAGUUUGAGCAUUGCAGUGAGACUGUGGGGGAUAAGCUUCAUAGUCGAGAGGGAAACAGCCCAGAUCGCCGGUUAAGGCCCCUAAGGGUGUGCUAAGUGGAAAAGGAUGUGGGAUCGCGAAGACAGCCAGGAGGUUGGCUUAGAAGCAGCCAUCCUUGAAAGAGUGCGUAAUAGCUCACUGGUCGAGUGGUUCUGCGCCGACAAUGUAGUGGGGCUCAAGCACACCGCCGAAGCCGCGGCAUAGUUUUUACUAUGGGUAGGGGAGCGUCGUGUGUGGGGUGAAGCCGUAUCGGAAGAAGCGGUGGACUGCACGCGAGUGAGAAUGCAGGCAUGAGUAACGAAUGAUACGUGAGAAUCGUAUCCGCCGAAUGACUAAGGGUUCCUGGGUCAAGUUCGUCUUCCCAGGGUGAGUCGGGUCCUAAGGCGAGGCCGACAGGCGUAGUCGAUGGUCAACGGGUUGAUAUUCCCGUACCCGUAUAUACGCGCCCAGUAUCGAAGCGGUGAUACUAACCACCCAGAUCCACCGACAUGCACAUCUUUGAUGUGUGGUUGGUGGUGAUGCGUGGGGCCUGAUCCGUUGUAGGUCAGUGAUGGGGUGACGCAGCAAGGUAGCCAAGCCGCUUAUUGGAUUGCGGUGCAAGCGUGUGGCACGACAGCAUGUCAAAUGCGGCUGUCAAUAGUGUGAGGCGUGAUGCGUAGCCCANNNNNNNNNNNNNNNNNNNNNNAUAUGGGUGAUGUUGGUGAUCCUCUACUGCCGAGAAAAGCCUCUAGCGAUGUGUGUAUACGGCCCGUACCCGAAACCGACACAGGUAGUCAAGUAGAGAAUACUCAGGCGGUCGGGAGAACUGUGGUUAAGGAACUCGGCAAAUUACCCCCGUAACUUCGGGAGAAGGGGGACCCAAACUGGUGCCCGAUCAUACGAUCGUGGUUGCUGGCGUGGGUCGCAGAGAAUAGAGGGGAGCGACUGUUUAUCAAAAACACAGGUCCGUGCGAAGACGAUGAAGUUGAUGUAUACGGACUGACGCCUGCCCGGUGCUGGAAGGUUAAGAGGACCUGUUAGGACAUUUUGUCCGAAGCGGAGAAUUUAAGCCCCAGUAAACGGCGGUGGUAACUAUAACCAUCCUAAGGUAGCGAAAUUCCUUGUCGGGUAAGUUCCGACCUGCACGAAUGGCGUAACGACUCCCCUGCUGUCUCAACCACAGACCCGGUGAAAUUGCACUACGAGUAAAGAUGCUCGUUACGCGCGGCAGGACGAAAAGACCCCGGGACCUUCACUAUAGCUUGGUAUUGGCAUUCGGUGCGGUUUGUGUAGGAUAGGUGGGAGACUGAGAUACGGCCACGCCAGUGGUUGUGGAGUCGUUGUUGAAAUACCACUCUGACCGUAGUGGAUAUCUAACCUUGGCCCAUGAUCUGGGUUGGGGACAGUGCCUGGUGGGUAGUUUA
rnacentral:rRNA from 1 species